AUGACAAUAAAGAUAACUACGACCAGAAUAGGCACUACAAUUACAACGACUUUACUUUUAAAUAUUAACUUAUGGUAAUUCAAAUGUUUGUUUGUACGAUUAUAUUUAAUUUUGUUGGCUGUGCGCGAGAAAUUCGAUAAUUCUUUAAAUUAAUGAUUUUUUACUAUAAGAACGGGCAUACCUUAUUACUAAUGGUUCUUUUGAAAUUUUUUUUUUUAAAGAAAAAAAAGAAGGUUGUAGAUUUAUCAUUUCUUUAAUUAUAGAUAGUUUUACUAUGACGUGGUCGUCAUUAAUUUUCGAUCGGGGAGAUGUUAGGUAGGGGUAUAGUGAAAUGAAGGUGAACAGGUUUGCAAAUAUCUCACGGCCUGUAUUAGUAUCUUAUAAAAUAUUUGUACUGAGAGACGGGUAGUCGGUCAAUUAAUUUAAAGUCUUUAUCAAUUUAGAAAAUAUUAAGAGUCAGCGUAACAAGCUGAAAGUUGUAAGGUUUGUAUGAUUGAAAUGUCUCACGGCGUGAAGCUGUAGUUAGUAUUUUAAGCCGUUGUAAAUUAGUAGUUAUUUGGAAUUGUGACGUUCCCGGUGGGAAAAGUAGUGGCUUGAAGAUUGUUAAAGUUUCAAAUUUAUUAGAACUUAUAGUUAAAAGAAUACUUACAAUUAUUUUAACAGCAUUGAUUUUUGAUUAUUGUGUUGACGAACUAGCCGAGGUGUUACAAGAGUGCCAUGAGAAUCAACUCCCCCUUCAACUCCCCAAAGACCUGUCAACCAGCAGUCUACAAAAAGGGGAGCUCGCCUGCUGCUCGCCGCCUUCCGCCUUUCGCCUUCUGCAUUCACCUGUUCCUAUCAUGGCCCGGGGUCUUGCUCUGCUGUAUCCGUUCUCUCUCCACAUGUUACUCAUUUCUAUUAUAGAUUCCUCGCACUACUAGUACUAUCUGUUCCCGAUAGAUCCUUCCAGAAUUAGGCUAUGGAGUUCCUUUCUUGAGGCAAUAUGACGGUGAUACCCACCCCACUUGCUCUGCCUGUCCUCACCUAAGCUCCACCAGUCGUAUUGCUUCAUUGAUUCCCCCCUCCUUCCUCGAGAACCGUUCGUCACUAUGUUAGAUCCUCGAGAUGACCAUGCAAGAUGGUUCAGUUCUAGUUGACAUUCCACUAUAUGAAAAGACCAGAUCGCCACUUUAUAUUCUUAUUCCUUGAGAGAGAGAGAGAACCGGAACAGCGACCUCGUGAAUCAUCCUAUUUAAUCGCUUCACCCUCGCCACAUUCGCUACUACUUCAAUUAUUGGGGUAAAUGGACAUUAAGACUAAGUUAUGAGAUAUGAGAGUUAAAUUAAUAUUGUAGUCCUAUUUAACCCAAUUAUUUUACAACCCUUUA